rnacentral:rRNA from 2 species
CCGUAAGGUGAACCUGCGGAAGGAUCAUU